rnacentral:rRNA from 1 species
CCUACGGUGUGCAGCAGUGGGGAAUAUUGCGCAAUGGGCGAAAGCCUGACGCAGCGACGCCGCGUGAGGGAUGAAGGUCUUCGGAUCGUAAACCUCUGUCAGCAGGGAAGAACGGUCACUGUGCUAAUCAGCAGUGAAUUGACGGUACCUGCAAAGGCAGCACCGGCUAACUCCGUGCCAGCAGCCGCGGUAAUACGGAGGGUGCGAGCGUUAAUCGGAAUUACUGGGCGUAAAGCGCUCGUAGGCGGUAUGUCAAGUCAAGGGUGAAAUCCCCGCGCUCAACGUGGGAACUGCCUGUGAAACUGGCAAACUGGAGUGUGUGAGAGGAUAGUGGAAUUCCAGGUGUAGGAGUGAAAUCCGUAGAUAUCACACAGAACACCGAUUGCGAAGGCAUCUCACGAAUCCGCGAUUGACGCUGAUGCACGAAAGCGUGGGUAUCAAACAGGAUUAGAGACCCGGGUAGUC